rnacentral:rRNA from 1 species
UACGUAGGCAGCAAGCGUUGUUCGGAAUUACUGGGCGUAAAGAGUGUGUAGGCGGUGCUCCAAGUCUGGUGUGAAAUCUCCCGGCUCAACUGGGAGGGUGCAUUAGAAACUGGAAUGCUAGAGGAUGGGAGAGGUAAGCGGAAUUCCUGGUGUAGCGGUGAAAUGCGUAGAUAUCAGGAGGAACACCAGAGGCGAAGGCGGCCUGCUGGGCUGCCCCUGACGCUGAGCCGCGAAAGCCAGGGGAGCGAACGGG